GCGUACGGCCAUACCACCCUGAAAGCGCCCGAUCUCGUCUGAUCUCGGAAGCUAAGCAGGGACGGGCCUGGUUAGUACCUGGAUGGGAGACCCCCUGGGAAUACCAGGUGUUGAAGGCU
rnacentral:rRNA from 1 species